rnacentral:misc_RNA from 1 species
UGAAUUAUCUGGAAAUGCAAAGCAAUGCCAACCAAAAUUUGAAAGCAGACGCCAAAUGGCGAAGAGGGACUCCUUGGACAGAAGAGGAACACAGGUCAUUUCUCCGGGGCCUAGAUAUAUAUGGAAGAGGUGACUGGAGAAGUAUAUCUCGGCACUGUGUGAUUACAAGAACAGGAAUGCAGGUGGCUAGCCAUGCACAGAAAUUUUUCAAGCGCCUCGAAGCCGCCAACAUAGGGGAGAGAAGAGCAAGCAUUCUUGAUAUUACUAGUGCAGAUGCUGAAGCUGCUGGAACUUCCCAAGUUCCAAAAACCGAGGAUAUGAUUGGGCCAGCUUGUGGAGGAUCACAAGUAGUGCCAAA